rnacentral:rRNA from 1 species
ACGCUCGACACCUACGGGGCAGCAGUGGGGAAUAUUGCGCAAUGGGGGAAACCCUGAUGCAGCGACGCCGCGUGAGCGAAGAAGUAUUUCGGUAUGUAAAGCUCUAUCAGCAGGGAAGAAGAAAGACGGUACCUGGCUAAGAAGCCCCGGCUAACUACGUGGCAGCAGCCGCGGUAAUCUGAGGCGGGCUGGCAAGGC